UACGUAGGGUGCAAGCGUUAAUCGGAAUUACUGGGCGUAAAGCGUGCGCAGGCGGUUAUGUAAGACAGAUGUGAAAUGCCCGGGCUUAACCUGGGAACUGCAUUUGUGACUGCAUGGCUAGAGUUUGGCAGAGGGGGGUAGAAUUCCACGUGUAGCAGUGAAAUGCGUAGAUAUCGAGAGGAACACCAGUGGCGAAGGCGAGUCUCUGGACGACUCCUGACACUGAGGCACGAAAGCCAGGGGAGCAAACAGG
rnacentral:rRNA from 1 species